rnacentral:SRP_RNA from 1 species
ACUGGGCGUGGUGGCGGGUGCCUGUAAUCCCAGCUACUUGGGAGGCUGAGGCAGGAGAAUCACUUGAACCCGGGAGGCGGUGGUUGCAGUGAGCCGGGAUCGCACCACUGCACUCCAGCCUGGGUGACAGAGUGAAAUCCUGCCUCAA